GAAAGCUUGCGGUGAUGGCCAGCGAGAUGGUCGAGGAGGGAAGGCCCAUGCGAUGCUUAUCCCGUGACACGAAUGCGAAGGGCGGGCCACAUCCAGUUCGAACUGCGGGAACUCGAGUGGGAAGGCAGCGUUAGUCUCUUUCCUUGGCCUAUUUCUCGAUGCCGCUCUUCUUUAGUCUCGAUCGCUGCAGGAGCUACGAGAAGCAUAUUCACGCUUGGCAAGUCCUUUUGUCGGGGACUCCAAACCUGUGUGCCAGUUUUUGGUAGCUGAAAUAGUUAGAUGCAUCACAUACUAUCUAAUUUCAGAUCAGAGAAAGCCAUGAAGUGGAUGGAAGCAUCGUUGGAUUGGUACUCUGUUCUCCUCAAAUGGUUUCUUUAGCCCAAAAGAAAAAG
rnacentral:lncRNA from 1 species